UUUUAUCAUAAUUUUUAAAAGGAAGAAAGAAGAGGGGAGCUCAUCACCUGGCCGUUGCUCCAUCCUGCUGUCAGUCUGCUCAUCUGGACCUUGUCAUCAGGGGGAAAGAUCAUAACCGCCCUAGGGUCUUCCUCCCUUCUCCCUCCCACACACUCAUGCACACACACCUCUCUGUCUCCUUCGUCAGAGGGUCGAGAAGGACGGAAGGUCUCCAGCCAGCGUCUCUGGGGCCUGGCACCGAAAAACCCCAUGCAUGAGCAGGGCUGCCCUUGUCCUGGCUGUGAGAAGGGGCAGUGGUCAAGAGCCUGAGUCAGGAUCCUCUGAGAGAACACCCACCAGGCCCCCUGGAGCCCCAGGCUCGCUGAGAGGCAUGUGGGUGCUGGCAGCGUCCCUCAGGGACCCUGGCACAAUGGUGGAAGAGGAAGAAGCUUGGAGACUGGGGAAGUUGCAGUAGGUGGAACUUUGGGGUUGUCAUGGGAACCAAAGCUCUGAGGCUGAUCAAGGCAGGAAAUACCAUCUGGUUUUAAACACCAAAAGCCUCGACUCACACUGGACUUAUUUCUGUAAACAGCAGAAUUAACAUCAUCCUGUAGCAGUAACGUCAGCCCUGAGCAAUCUAGAGAUUGUCUUUCUGCUGAUUUCC
rnacentral:lncRNA from 1 species